CCUACGGGAGGCUGCAGUAGGGAAUCUUCCACAAUGGGCGAAAGCCUGAUGGAGCAACGCCGCGUGGGUGAAGAAGGUCUUCGGAUCGUAAAACCCUGUUGUUAGAGAAGAAAGUGCGGGAGAGUAACUGUUAACGUUUCGACGGUAUCUAACCAGAAAGCGACGGCUAACUACGUGCCAGCAGCCUCGGUAAGACGUUGGUGGCAAGCGUUAUGAGGGUUUAUUGGGCGUAAAGUGAACGCAGGCGGUCUUUUAAGUCUGAUGUGAAAGGCUUCGGCUUAACCGGAGUAGUGCAUGUGAAACUGGGGGACGUGAGUGCAGGAGAGGCGAGUGGAACUCCAUGUGUAGCGGUGGAAUGCGUAGAUAUAUGGAAGAACACCAGUGGCGAAAGCGGCUCUCUGGUCUGUAACUGACGCUGAGGUUCGAAAGCGUGGGUAGCAAACAGGAUUAGAUACCCUGGUAGUC
rnacentral:rRNA from 1 species